rnacentral:rRNA from 1 species
GUAGGUGGCAAGCGUUGUCCGGAAUUAUUGGGCGUAAAGCGCGCGCAGGCGGUUCUUUAAGUCUGAUGUGAAAGCCCACGGCUCAACCGUGGAGGGUCAUUGGAAACUGGAGAACUUGAGUACAGAAGAGGAAAGCGGAAUUCCACGUGUAGCGGUGAAAUGCGUAGAGAUGUGGAGGAACACCAGUGGCGAAGGCGGCUUUCUGGUCUGUAACUGACGCUGAGGCGCGAAAGCGUGGGGAGCAAACAGGAUUAGAUACCCUGGUAGUCCACGCCGUAAACGAUGAGUACUAAGUGUUAGGGGGUUUCCGCCCCCCUUAGUGCUGCAGCUAACGCAUUAAGCACUCCGCCUGGGGAGUACGGCCGCAAGGCUG